GGGACACGUGGUAUCCUGUCUGAAUAUGGGGGGACCAUCCUCCAAGGCUAAAUACUCCUGACUGACCGAUAGUGAACCAGUACCGUGAGGGAAAGGCGAAAAGAACCCCGGCGAGGGGAGUGAAAAAGAACCUGAAACCGUGUACGUACAAGCAGUGGGAGCCUCUUAAUGGGGUGACUGCGUACCUUUUGUAUAAUGGGUCAGCGACUUAUAUUCUGUAGCAAGGUUAACCGAAUAGGGGAGCCGAAGGGAAACCGAGUCUUAACUGGGCGUUAAGUUGCAGGGUAUAGACCCGAAACCCGGUGAUCUAGCCAUGGGCAGGUUGAAGGUUGGGUAACACUAACUGGAGGACCGAACCGACUAAUGUUGAAAAAUUAGCGGAUGACUUGUGGCUGGGGGUGAAAGGCCAAUCAAACCGGGAGAUAGCUGGUUCUCCCCGAAAGCUAUUUAGGUAGCGCCUCGUGAAUUCAUCUCCGGGGGUAGAGCACUGUUUCGGCAAGGGGGUCAUCCCGACUUACCAACCCGAUGCAAACUGCGAAUACCGGAGAAUGUUAUCACGGGAGACACACGGCGGGUGCUAACGUCCGUCGUGAAGAGGGAAACAACCCAGACCGCCAGCUAAGGUCCCAAAGUCAUGGUUAAGUGGGAAACGAUGUGGGAAGGCCCAGACAGCCAGGAUGUUGGCUUAGAAGCAGCCAUCAUUUAAAGAAAGCGUAAUAGCUCACUGGUCGAGUCGGCCUGCGCGGAAGAUGUAACGGGGCUAAACCAUGCACCGAAGCUGCGGCAGCGACACUAUGUGUUGUUGGGUAGGGGAGCGUUCUGUAAGCCUGUGAAGGUGUGCUGUGAGGCAUGCUGGAGGUAUCAGAAGUGCGAAUGCUGACAUAAGUAACGAUAAAGCGGGUGAAAAGCCCGCUCGCCGGAAGACCAAGGGUUCCUGUCCAACGUUAAUCGGGGCAGGGUGAGUCGACCCCUAAGGCGAGGCCGAAAGGCGUAGUCGAUGGGAAACAGGUUAAUAUUCCUGUACUUGGUGUUACUGCGAAGGGGGGACGGAGAAGGCUAUGUUGGCCGGGCGACGGUUGUCCCGGUUUAAGCGUGUAGGCUGGUUUUCCAGGCAAAUCCGGAAAACCAAGGCUGAGGCGUGAUGA
rnacentral:rRNA from 1 species